rnacentral:snoRNA from 1 species
UGAUGGUGAUGAGGAUAUUUUUUGAGCAUGCCCUUGAAUCUCUCCCAAGCUUGGUAGAUAUUUUCUCCAUAUUUUUAUCUAAAAUUUAAUAUCUCACUCCUCAAUCG